UACAGAGGUCUCAAGCGUUGUUCGGAUUCAUUGGGCGUAAAGGGUGCGUAGGCGGCGCGGUAAGUCGGGUGUGAAAUCUCGGGGCUUAACUCCGAAACUGCAUUCGAUACUGCGGUGCUUGAGGACUGGAGAGGAGACUGGAAUUCAUGGUGUAGCGGUGAAAUGCGUAGAUAUCGUAAGGAAGACCAGUGGCGAAGGCGGGUCUCUGGACAGUUCCUGACGCUGAGGCACGAAGGUCAGGGGAGCAAACGGG
rnacentral:rRNA from 1 species